GCUGAUGUAGCUCAAGCGGCAGAGCAGCUGUCUUGUAAACAGCAGGUUGUGAGGUCGGUACUCACCAUCAGCACCA
rnacentral:tRNA from 1 species